GACGAACGCUGGCGGCGUGCCUAAUACAUGCAAGUAGAACGCACAGGAUGCACCGUAGUUUACUGCACCGUAUUCUGUGAGUUGCGAACGGGUGAGUAACGCGUAGGUAACCUGCCUGGUAGCGGGGGAUAACUAUUGGAAACGAUAGCUAAUACCGCAUAAGAACAUUUACUGCAUGGUAGAUGUUUAAAAGGUGCAAAUGCAUCACUACCAGAUGGACCUGCGUUGUAUUAGCUAGUAGGUGAGGUAACGGCUCACCUAGGCGACGAUACAUAGCCGACCUGAGAGGGUGAUCGGCCACACUGGGACUGAGACACGGCCCAGACUCCUACGGGAGGCAGCAGUAGGGAGUCUUCAGCAAUGGGGGGAACCCUGACCGAGCAACGCCGCGUGAGUGAAGAAGGUUUUCGGAUCGUAAAAGCUCUGUUGUUAAAGGAAAGAAACGAAGUGUG
rnacentral:rRNA from 1 species